AGCGUAGACGGAUGGACAAGUCUGAUGUGAAAGACCGGGGCUCAACCCCGGGACUGCAUUGGAAACUGUCAAUCUAGAGUACCGGAGGGGUAAGUGGAAUUCCUAGUGUAGCGGUGAAAUGCGUAGAUAUUAGGAGGAACACCAGUGGCGAAGGCGGCUUACUGGACGGUAACUGACGUUGAGGCUCGAAAGCGUGGGGAGGCAAAACA
rnacentral:rRNA from 1 species